rnacentral:rRNA from 23 species
CCGGCAACGGAUAUCUCGGCUCUCGCAUCGAUGAAGAACGUAGCGAAAUGCGAUACAUGGUGUGAAUUGCAGAAUCCCGUGAACCAUCGAGUCUUUGAACGCAAGUUGCGCCCGAGGGACCAUCCCGAGGGCACGC